GAUGAACGCUGGCGGCGUGCUUAACACAUGCAAGUCGAACGGUGAAGGCGGAGCUUGCUCUGCUGGAUCAGUGGCGAACGGGUGAGUAACACGUGAGCAAUCUGCCCCUGACUCUGGGAUAGGCGCUGGAAACGGCGUCUAAUACUGGAUACGAGCUGCGACGGCAUCUUCAGCAGCUGGAAAGAAUUUCGGUCAGGGAUGAGCUCGCGGCCUAUCAGCUUGUUGGUGAGGUAAUGGCUCACCAAGGCGUCGACGGGUAGCCGGCCUGAGAGGGUGACCGGCCAAAAUGGGACUGAGAAACGGCCCAGACUCCUACGGGAGGCAGCAGUGGGGAAUAGUGCACAAUGGGCGAAAGCCUGAUGCAGCAACGCCGCGUGAGGGACGACGGCCUUCGGGUUGUAAACCGAUUUUAGCAGGGAAGAAGCGAAAGUGACGGUACCGGCAGAAAAAGCGCCGGCUAACUACGUG
rnacentral:rRNA from 1 species